CCCCUCUCAGGGUCACACCUGGAGAGUUUCCAGUACUCUACCAGUCUUGACUACAGGAGGGAGAGUCAGGAAGAGGCAUAUCCAUUCCAUUCCUAGCUUGGGCAGUGGCUAGCGAGUGGAAGGCAAUCUCCUACAAGU
rnacentral:snoRNA from 1 species